rnacentral:tRNA from 1 species
GGGGUCUUAGCUCAGCUGGGAGAGCAUCUGCCUUACAAGCAGAGGGUCACAGGUUCGAGCCCUGUGGGCCCCA